AUACGGAGGGUGCAAGCGUUACUCGGAAUCACGGGGCGUAAAGCGCGCGCGGGCGGCUAUUUAAGUUGGACGUGAAAGCCUACGGCUCAACCGUAGAACUGCAUCCAAAACUAUUUAGCUAGAGUGUGGGAGAGGAAGAUGGAAUUAGUUGUGUAGGGGUAAAAUCCGUAGAGAUAAAUAGGAAUACCAAAAGCGAAGGCAAUCUUCUGGAACACUACUGACGCUGAGGCGCGAAAGCGUGGGGAGCAAACGGGAUUAGAAACCCCAGUAGUCC
rnacentral:rRNA from 1 species